rnacentral:rRNA from 1 species
UGGGGAAUAUUGCACAAUGGGCGCAAGCCUGAUGCAGCGACGCCGCGUGAGGGAUGACGGCCUUCGGGUUGUAAACCUCUUUCACCAGGGACGAAGCGCGAGUGACGGUACCUGGAGAAGAAGCACCGGCCAACUACGUGCCAGCAGCCGCGGUAAUACGUAGGGUGCGAGCGUUGUCCGGAAUUACUGGGCGUAAAGAGCUCGUAGGCGGUUUGUCGCGUCGUCUGUGAAAUUCUGCAACUCAAUUGUAGGCGUGCAGGCGAUACGGGCAGACUUGAGUACUGCAGGGGAGACUGGAAUUCCUGGUGUAGCGGUGAAAUGCGCAGAUAUCAGGAGGAACACCGGUGGCGAAGGCGGGUCUCUGGGCAGUAACUGACGCUGAGGAGCGAAAGCGUGGGUAGCGAACAGGAUUAGAUACCCUGGUAGUCCACGCCGUAAACGGUGGGUACUAGGUGUGGGUUCCUUUUCACGGGAUCCGUGCCGUAGCUAACGCAUUAAGUACCCCGCCUGGGGAGUACGGCCGCAAGGCUA